rnacentral:misc_RNA from 1 species
GUGAAUCAUCAAAUCUUUGAACGCAAAUUGCACUCUCUGGUAUUCCGGAGAGUAUGCCUGUUUGAGGGUCAGUUAAAUUAAAAUUGGUGUUGUUUCUUCCUUUCGUGGUUACGCACCGGAUGUUGGUCGGCUUGCCUUUGGUUAAGUUACCUUAAAUUUUGCCUUGAUUUUUUGGACGUAUUUUAAUUGUUUUACGUUCGUUUUCGAUUUCGAAAUCCU